UACGAAGGGGGCUAGCGUUGUUCGGAAUUACUGGGCGUAAAGCGCACGUAGGCGGGUUUGUAAGUAGGGGGUGAAAUCCCCGGGCUCAACCCGGGAACUGCCCUCUAGACUGCAAGCCUGGAGGUCAGGAGAGGCGAGUGGAAUUCCGAGUGUAGAGGUGAAAUUCGUAGAUAUUCGGAGGAACACCAGUGGCGCAGGCGACUCGCUGGACUGAUACUGACGCUGAGGUGCGAAAGCGUGGGGAGCAAGCAUG
rnacentral:rRNA from 1 species